rnacentral:rRNA from 1 species
GAACGCUGGCGGCAUGCCUUACACAUGCAAGUCGAACGGUAACAGGUCUUCGGAUGCUGACGAGUGGCGAACGGGUGAGUAAUACAUCGGAACGUGCCCGAUCGUGGGGGAUAACGAAGCGAAAGCUUUGCUAAUACCGCAUACGAUCUACGGAUGAAAGCGGGGGAUCUUCGGACCUCGCGCGGACGGAGCGGCCGAUGGCAGAUUAGGUAGUUGGUGGGAUAAAAGCUUACCAAGCCGACGAUCUGUAGCUGGUCUGAGAGGAUGAUCAGCCACACUGGGACUGAGACACGGCCCAGACUCCUACGGGAGGCAGCAGUGGGGAAUUUUGGACAAUGGGCGCAAGCCUGAUCCAGCCAUGCCGCGUGCAGGAUGAAGGCCUUCGGGUUGUAAACUGCUUUUGUACGGAACGAAAAGGUGCCUUCUAAUAAAGGGCGCUCAUGACGGUACCGUAAGAAUAAGCACCGGCUAACUACGUGCCAGCAGCCGCGGUAAUACGUAGGGUGCGAGCGUUAAUCGGAAUUACUGGGCGUAAAGCGUGCGCAGGCGGUUUUGUAAGACAGAGGUGAAAUCCCCGGGCUCAACCUGGGAACUGCCUUUGUGACUGCAAGGCUGGAGUGCGGCAGAGGGGGAUGGAAUUCCGCGUGUAGCAGUGAAAUGCGUAGAUAUGCGGAGGAACACCGAUGGCGAAGGCAAUCCCCUGGGCCUGCACUACGCUCUCACAAAGC